UACAUCAAUCAAUCAAGGGAUUUAAUAUUACAGAGUAAAUGAGGCAAAAAAGUUUGAAAAAUGAACUGAUUGGGUGUGAGUCCCGAUAAUGCGCAUUCAUUUCGGACACAUCUAUAAUUAGCCUCCUCCUCAUCAGAGUAAGAAACAUCUCGAGAACAAUUAUCCUUACAAUUUCAGGUUAAGAUGUCUGGCACAGCAGAAGAUAUUUACAAGAUAGGAAAAACAGCAGCCACUGAACACUAUCGGGCCAUAUUUCAGAUAGUGAAGGAUCAUGAUAAAGAGAAUAAUAAAAGGCACAAAUCCGAAAUCGAGAAGCACUCUAUUUCAGAUCAAAUAGAGUUUCUUGAAGAGAUUAUGGAGAAAAGGGUGUCUUGCUUCAACAUCGUGGAAGAGAAGGACAAAAUCGAAGUCCCAUAUAUAGACUGGGACAAGCUGGGGGAGCCCUUCAUGUCCAAGCCCUUAGUGGCCCCUCCUCCUUUAUCAAAACGUUUUAAUAUUUAUGUUUUUAUAUUUACUUUUGAAACCUGAAAACAUUGACGUUACCAGUUUUGUAAACCGGAUUAUAUUAUAAGUUGCUUUUAUGGAUA